AAAGGAAGUUGACGGGGCCCGGCACAAGCGGUGGAGUAUGUGGUUUAAUUCGAUGCAACGCGAAGAACCUUACCUGGUCUUGACAUCCCGGAGACCCUUAGGAAACUAGGGGUGCUUCCAUCUGGAAGAAUCUGGAGACAGGUGCUGCAUGGCUGUCGUCAGCUCGUGUCGUGAGAUGUUGGGUUAAGUCCCGCAACAAGCGCAACCCUUGCCUUUAGUUGCCAGCAGUUCGGCUGGGCACUCUAAAGGGACUGCCGGUGUUAAACCGGAGGAAGGUGGGGAUGACGUCAAGUCCUCAUGGCCUUUAUGACCAGGGCUACACACGUACUACAAUGGCCGAUACAAAGGGCAGCGACACUGCGAGGUGAAGCCAAUCCCGUAAAAUCGGUCUCAGUCCGGAUUGGAGUCUGCAACUCGACUCCAUGAAGUUGGAAUCGCUAGUAAUCGUGGAUCAGCAUGCCACGGUGAAUACGUUCCCGGGCCUU
rnacentral:rRNA from 1 species